rnacentral:rRNA from 1 species
GACGAACGCUGGCGGCGUGCUUAACACAUGCAAGUCGAACGGAAAGGCCCUGCUUUUGUGGGGUUCUCGAGUGGCGAACGGGUGAGUAACACGUGAGUAACCUGCCCUUGACUUUGGGAUAACUUCAGGAAACUGGGGCUAAUACCGGAUAGGAUCUCCUGCUGCAUGGUGGGGGUUGGAAAGUUUCGGCGGUUGGGGAUGGACUCGCGGCUUAUCAGCUUGUUGGUGGGGUAGUGGCUUACCAAGGCUUUGACGGGUAGCCGGCCUGGGAGGGUGACCGGCCACAUUGGGACUGCGAUACGGCCCAGAAUCCUACGGGAGGCAGCAGUGGGGAAUAUUGCACAAUGGGCGGAAGCCUGAUGCAGCAACGCCGCGUGCGUGAUGCCGGCCUUCGGGUUGUAAACCGCUUUCGCCUGUGACGAAGCGUGAGUGACGGUACUGGGUCAAGAAGCACCGGCUAACUACGUG